rnacentral:misc_RNA from 1 species
AACGCACCUUGCGCUCCCUGGUAUUCUGGGGAGCAUGCCUGUUUGAGUGUCAUGAAUCUCUCAACCUAUUAGAUUGCAAAAUCGAAGUAGUGUUGGACUUGGAGGCUUGCUGGCCUAGUCAGCUCCUCUCAAAUGCAUUAGCUAUGGAUCGCGCGGCGAUUAGAUCUACGGUGUGAUACAUGUCUUACCUAUGGAUCGAAAGCUAUAAUCACCGCUUCGGCAGUGUAUACUUCAUUGUGUACCGUGUGAUGAGUGAAUACAAAGCUUCUAAUCGUCUGUAACGGACAACUCUUUUGACAUCUGACCUCAAAUCAGGUAGGACUACCCGCUGAACUUAA